rnacentral:rRNA from 1 species
GCCGGUUAGGGUGAGAGCUUUAAGGAUACUGCCAGUGACAAAAUGGAGGAAGGCGGGGACGACGUCAAGUCAUCAUGGCCCUUACGACCAGGGCUACACACGUGCUACAAUGGUCGGUACAAAGGGUUGCUACCUAGCGAUAGGAUGCUAAUCUCAAAAAGCCGAUCGUAGUCCGGAUUGGAGUCUGCAACUCGACUCCAUGAAGUCGGAAUCGCUAGUAAUCGCGGAUCAGAAUGCCGCGGUGAAUACGUUCCCGGGCCUUGUACACACCGCCCGUCACACCAUGGGAAUUUGUUGCACCCAGAAGUGGGAUAGUCUUAACUGCCAAAGA